UACGUAGGGGGCAAGCGUUGUCCGGAAUCAUUGGGCGUAAAGCGCGUGUAGGCGGUUCGGUAAGUCUGCUGUGAAAGUCCAGGGCUCAACCCUGGGAUGCCGGUGGAUACUGUCGGACUAGAGUACGGAAGAGGCGAGUGGAAUUCCCGGUGUAGCGGUGAAAUGCGCAGAUAUCAGGAGGAACACCGAUGGCGAAGGCAGGUCUCUGGGCACUUACUGACGCUGAGGAGCGAAAGCGUGGGGAGCGAACAGG
rnacentral:rRNA from 1 species